rnacentral:lncRNA from 1 species
CUGUUUGGGGAAGGUUGUUUUAAUAUAGAUUCCUGGCCCUCACCCCAGACCUCCUGGAUCAGAAUCUCUGGUUCCCAAGUUUUUCUUAGGCAGCAGUUCUCAGCCUGGGCUGCACAUUAGAAUUACCCAGGGAACUUUUAAAUAGCCCAGGCUGCACCCCAGACCAGUUAAAUUAGAAUCUCUAGAUGGAAGCAGUGGGGAGGGGAGAAUCCAGGCAUCAAUGUGUUUUGAAGCUUGCCAGGUGCUUCCACUGUGCAGCUGAGGUGAAGAAUCCCCGAGUUGAGUUGCAUGGGAGGAGGCGGGCAUCAGGAUCUUUUAAAAGCUUCACGUGGGAUUCUGAUGUGUGGAAAUUACAGAGCGUGCCCUCCGAGACCUGCUGCCUGUAUGAAGGGCGUGUGAGCACUCUCGCUGAGCUCUCGGGGCUGUUUGCCGCAGGAGUGAUUCAUUGGGGUCAAUCCACCUUGGGGCUGGGGAAAAAGCACUGGAGGAAGGUUCAGUCGGUGUGAGUUACGGCCUCAGUUCCGUGAGACGGCGCCGGUACUGGAAGGAACAGCAGGCUUGGACCCGAGAGAUCUUGUCUACAAAUACGUCUUUUUACAACACAUCAUUUAACUUUUCUUGCCUCCAGUUUAUUAAGCUGCACACCAGGGAGUUCCCUGCAUGGCCUGAGAAGGAUUAGGGAAUAUGAACAGACUAAGUCCCAGCAAGUCUAAAUCACCUAUUCAAGAGCUUCCAGCAGGUCGCUGGCAGAGCAGGAGCCAUCCCAUCUCAUAAUGUGAUUCUUAGGUCUAUGAACUUGAGAAGCAAUGAGUCAUGGGCCUGCUACCCAAAUCGAAG